UACGAAGGGUGCAAGCGUUAAUCGGAAUUACUGGGCGUAAAGGGUGCGUAGGCGGUUCGUUAAGUCUGUCGUGAAAUCCCCGGGCUCAACCUGGGAAUGGCGAUGGAUACUGGCGAGCUAGAGUGUGUCAGAGGAUGGUGGAAUUCCCGGUGUAGCGGUGAAAUGCGUAGAGACCGGGAGGAACAUCAGUGGCGAAGGCGGCCAUCUGGGACAACACUGACGCUGAAGCACGAAAGCGUGGGGAGCAAACAGG
rnacentral:rRNA from 1 species